rnacentral:scRNA from 1 species
GGCCUUUCGCCCGUUGGGCUGCUGGGGAUCCCACUGCUCGUCAGCCAGGCCUGGAGGCUGAGAUCAGCCCUGGAGGAGUAUCACCCGGGCAGCCUUGUUU